rnacentral:rRNA from 1 species
GAUGAACGCUGGCGGCGUGCCUAACACAUGCAAGUCGAACGGGAAUCUUCGGAUUCUAGUGGCGGACGGGUGAGUAACGCGUAAGAAUCUAACUUCAGGACGGGGACAACAGUUGGAAACGACUGCUAAUACCCGAUGUGCCGCAAGGUGAAACCUAAUUGGCCUGAAGAAGAGCUUGCGUCUGAUUAGCUAGUUGGUGGGGUAAAGGCCUACCAAGGCGACGAUCAGUAGCUGGUCUGAGAGGAUGAGCAGCCACACUGGGACUGAGACACGGCCCAGACUCCUACGGGAGGCAGCAGUGGGGAAUUUUCCGCAAUGGGCGAAAGCCUGACGGAGCAACGCCGCGUGAGGGAGGAAGGUC